rnacentral:rRNA from 1 species
AUAAAGUGGGUUAGCGGCGGACGGGUGAGUAACACGUGAGUAACCUGCCUUAGACAUUGGGAUAGCCUCGGGAAACCGGGAUUAAUACCAAAUAAAAUCAUAAUGACACGUGUCAUAACGAUCAAAACUCCGGUGGUCUAAGAUGGACUCGCGUCCCAUUAGCUAGUUGGUAGAGUAAAAGCCUACCAAGGCGACGACGGGUAGCCGGCCUGAGAGGGUGUACGGUCACAUUGGGACUGAGAUACGGCCCAG